CUUUAUUCGGCCGGGAGCAUUGGCAAGACUCACGUCUCAAAAACUGAGCUCCCUGAGUGAGCAAUUCCUAUCCCUCUUAAGGGCUUACAACUCUAAGGGGGUUUGCAUGAGAGGGUCGUGAUCGAUUGAGCAAGCAGGGAGUAAGUGACUGAAGGCUGCAUGCACCAGUAAUUAGAAUGGAACAGAACAGGACAGGGAUUUUCAAAGUGCUUUUCUAUACAAUGUCUGUAAUCUGUAGAUAACAUAACCGAUUAGGUCAGGGCUCGAUCUUUAACUACCAGGCCCAUGGUGUGGCGCUGGGCUGUCUGCCUGUGGAUUUCAUUUCUGCCUUUUAGUUUUUACUUCUUCUUUCUUUGGAAGCAGAAAUUGGGCAUAAGACAAUAUGAGGAGUGGUCUCCUCCCUUAGUGGCGCAUGCCUGUAAUCCCAGUUACUUGAGAGGCUGAGGCAGAAGAAUCACUUGAACCUGGGAGGCGGAGGUUGCAGUGAGCCGAGAUUGUACCAUUGCACUCCAGCCUGGGCAACAAGUGCGAAACCCCAUCACACACGCAAAAAAAGGAGGACACUAUGGUAGGCUGCUUGGGAGUUAGGAGCUGUAUCUGACAUGAGGCCAGGAGAAGCCUUGGCAAAGCUCACAUGACCUUCAAGCUCCUUUCACUCCAAAACAUGAGCAAGGACUGUGCCGUUGCUUUCCAUUCCUCAGGUGGGGACAAGAAGUGGAAACCUAUGCAGACACUAGAUAGGUUUUGUUUUACAGGCAAGGUAAGAAGAACUACAGAGGAAGAACCUAAUGCAGACGUUUCCCAGGAGACUUUAACUGAAGUAUCAGCAAACUGAAAGCUAGGACGCUUCAGACAUACCAGUGGGCCUAACCUUUUUCACAAGGAGCUCUGGCCUGGCCAACAAGAAUCACCUUUGGUGCUUCAGUGCAGUGUCACCAUCACCUGUUUGAAAUGCAGCCAGGUAACAUGUACCAUUUUAUUUGCUUUCAGUAUCACAGUCUAUCUUCUAAUAAGAAACCUAGGCCUCUGGCUGGGUGUGGUGGCUUACACCUGUAACCCAGCACUUUGAGAGGCUGAGGUGGGUGGAUCACUUGAGGUCAGGAGUUCGAGACCACCCUGGCCAACAUGGUGAAACUCCCAUCUCUACUAAAAAUAUUAAAAUUAGCUGGGCAUGGUGGCAUGUGCCCUCUAAUCCCAGGUACUAGGGAGGCUGAGGCAGGAGAAUCACUUAAAACCGGGAGGCGGAGGUUGCAGUGAGCUGAGAUGAUGCCACUGCACUCCAGCCUGGGCAACAAGAGUGAAACUCCAUCUCAAAAAAAAAAAAAAAAAGGAUUUUUUUUUUUUUUUUUUUCUGUGCUGGGUUUACUUAGCAUACCUUUCAGAUUCAUGAAUGUUGCAAAUAACAAGACUUUAUUUUUAAGGGCUGAAUGGCAUUUCAUUGUGUACAUAUACCACAUUUUCUUUCUCCAUUCACCUACUGAUGAACACUCAGGUUGAUUCCAUACCUUAGUUAUUAUCAGUAAUCCACUUCCUUCCCUUUCAUUUGUGUUUGUUUUGUUUUGUUUGAGAUGGAGUCUCAUUCUGUCACCCAAGCUGGAGUGCAGUGGCGCGGUCUUGGCUAACAGCAACCUCCGCCUCCCAGGUUCAAGCAAUUCUCCUGCCUCAGCCUCUCGAGUAGCUGGUAUUACAGGCACGCACCACCACGCCCAGGUAAUUUUGUAUUUUUAGUAGACAUGGGGUUUCUCCAUGUUGGUAAGGCUGAUCUCCAACUCCCGACCUCAGGUGAUCCACCUGCCUCUGCCUCUCAAAGUGCUGGAAUUACAGGCUUAAGCUACCAUGCCUGGCCAAAAGCCUAGGUUUCUUUCUAUGUAAGCCUAGGUUUAUUUCUAUGUGAAGUGUAAAAGAAAUUUAAACUCAUAGAAGCAGAGAGUACAAUAAUGAAAAAAAAAAAAAAUCUCCUAUGGGGUUUUUUGUCUGAUUGAGAGCUUCUUCAUGAUCUUUCAGGGAUUGUAUUUUCUUUCAUCUUCUGCAUCCUCCUGUUUUUUAGCCAAUGGAUGAAAAAAAAUACAGAGAAGACACAUUUGCUUUUAUCCACUGCACUUCCACUCACUAUUAGUCAUUGUGGAUACAGCUGAGAAUAGCAGUUUUCUGGCAGGACAGCCACUUCUCAGUAAUAAACAACUGAAAAAGUAUAAAUGUGUCAUAAAAAGCUAAUAGAUUUUAAGAAAAACAAGCAUAGGCAUCAAUAAUGUUUGUGGUAAAUAAAGAUUCAUAUUGUUGAUUUCUAUUGAGCUCCCGUAAUAUUUGAUAAAAGCUUGCAAAUAUACAGCAGAAAAGGAGUAUUAUUCUAAAUCAGAAUAUUGUUAUGGCUAUUUUGUCAAUAGAAGUCAAUAUCCAAUAUACAGAAUGGUUAUUUUGUCAAUGUAAGUAAAAAUAUGACUUCACACUAAUAGUCUCACCAAUAGUUGUAAUCAAAUGCUAUUUUUUAUUUAAAAUUUUAUUUCAUAUAAGUAAUCCCAGGCGGGCGGAUCAUGAGGUCAAGAGAUCGAGACCAUCCUUGCCAACAUGGUGACAGCCCAUCCCUACUAAAAAUACAAAAAUUAGCUAAGCAUGGUGGCACAUGCCUGUAGUCCCAGCUAUUCGGGAGGCUGAGGUAGGAGAACCACUCGAUCCCGGGAGCUGAGAUCACGCCACUGCACUCCAGCCUGGGGACAGAGCAAGAC
rnacentral:lncRNA from 1 species